rnacentral:tRNA from 1 species
GCCUGGGUGGCUCAGUCGGUUGAGCGUCUGACUUCAGCUCAGGUCAUGAUCUCACGGUCCGUGAGUUCGAGCCCCAUGUUGGGCU